UACGGAGGGUGCAAGCGUUGCUCGGAAUUAUUGGGCGUAAAGGGUAGGUAGGUGGUCUCGUUUGUCUGGGGUGAAAUCCUUGAGCUUAACUCAAGAAGUGCCUCAGAAACGGCGAGACUAGAGUUCUGGAGAGGGUCGCGGAAUUCCCGGUGUAGAGGUGAAAUUCGUAGAUAUCGGGAGGAACACCAGCGGCGAAGGCGGCGAUCUGGGCAGAUAUUGACGCUGAGGUGCGAAAGCGUGGGGAGCAAACAGG
rnacentral:rRNA from 1 species